rnacentral:rRNA from 1 species
CCUACGGGUGGCUGCAGUGGGGAAUAUUGGGCAAUGGGCGCAAGCCUGACCCAGCAACGCCGCGUGAAGGAUGAAGGCUUUCGGGUUGUAAACUUCUUUUCGCAGGGACGAAGCAAGUGACGGUACCUGAGGAAUAAGCCACGGCUAACUACGUGCCAGCAGCCGCGGUAAUACGUAGGGGGCAAGCGUUAUCCGGAAUGACUGGGUGUAAAGGGGGUGUAGGCGAGAAAGCAAGUUAGAUGGGGAAACCAUGGGCUCAACCUGUGGUCUGCAUAUGAAACUGUUUGACUUGAGUACUGGGGAGGGAGACGGGAAUCCGUGGGGAGCGGUGGAAAGGGU